rnacentral:tRNA from 1 species
UUAGUCGAAACCAAAAGUGAGGUAUAUCAUUGUUAAUGAUAAAAUUGAAUAUUUAUUUCCGUCUAAG